CAGUCGCCACGGGAAUACGUAGGUGGCAAGCGUUGUCCGGAAUUAUUGGGCGUAAAGGGCUCGCAGGCGGUUUCUUAAGUCAGAUGUGAAAGCCCCCGGCUCAACCGGGGAGGGUCAUUGGAAACUGGGAAACUUGAGUGCAGAAGAGGAGAGUGGAAUUCCACGUGUAGCGGUGAAAUGCGUAGAGAUGUGGAGGAACACCAGUGGCGAAGGCGACUCUCUGGUCUGUAACUGACGCUGAGGAGCGAAAGCGUGGGGAGCGAACAGGAUUAGAUACCCCAGUAGUCCCUGUCUCUUAUAC
rnacentral:rRNA from 1 species